rnacentral:ncRNA from 2 species
AAUUGUCCGUACGGGUGCUUGAGUGAAUCAGGCUGAGAUAGCAGAUAAAACCACUGCUGACCGUUAAUCUGAUCUGGGUAAUGCCAGCGUAGAGAGCGUUCGAAGGGAAUAU